rnacentral:rRNA from 1 species
AGUCGACGGUAACAGGGACUUCGGUCCGCUGACGAGUGGCGCACGGGUGAGUAACGCGUGGGUUACCUGCCCAUAAGUGGGGAACAACUUGGAGAAAUCCAAGCUAAUACCGCAUAAUACCUUCGGGUUAAAGAGGGGGAUCUUCGGACCUCUCGCUUAUGGAUGGUCCCGCGUCUGAUUAGCUAGUUGGUAGGGUAAUGGCCUACCAAGGCAAUGAUCAGUAGCUGGUCUGAGAGGAUGAUCAGUCACACUGGAACUGAGACACGGUCCAGACUCCUACGGGAGGCAGCAGUGGGGAAUUUUGCACAAUGGGCGAAAGCCUGAUGCAGCGACGCCGCGUGCGGGAAGAAGGCCUUCGGGUUGUAAACCGCUUUCAACAGGGAAGAAGGAAUGAGAGCUAAUACCUCUCUGCCUUGACGGUACCUGCAGAAGAAGCACCGGCUAAUUUCGUGCCAGCAGCCGCGGUAAUACGAAAGGUGCAAGCGUUGUUCGGAUUUACUGGGCGUAAAGAGAUCGUAGGUGGCUUGUUAAGUCGGAUGUGAAAUCCCGGGGCUCAACCCCGGAACUGCAUCCGAUACUGGCAGGCUUGAGUUUGGGAGGGGUAAGCGGAAUUCCGUGUGUAGCAGUGAAAUGCGUAGAUAUACGGAGGAACACCUGAGGCGAAGGCGGCUUACUGGACCAAUACUGACACUGAGGAUCGAAAGCGUGGGUAGCAAACAGGAUUAGAUACCCUGGCAGUCCACGCCCUAAACGAUGUCAACUAGCCGUUGCGGGUAUCGACCCCUGCAGUGGCGCAGCUAACGCGAUAAGUUGACCGCCUGGGGAGUACGGUCGCAAGAUUAAAACUCAAGAAGUGACGGGGGCCCGCACAAGCGGUGGAGCAUG